UCCCUUCCCCUAUUUGCAGGUUGCAGCCCAUCGUGAGGACGCCGUUGGUCUCCGCUCCGCUCACCCCUUGCUCCCCAAUCAAGUUUCAGUCCCUCAGCUCCCUGUGCAAUCUGCCACGUCUCCAGAGCUCAACCAAGCCCAGGAUCCUUACAGGGGCAUGGCUGCAGGUUUGCAAGGCCAGAGCGUCUCAUCUGGGAGUUCGGAGCUGAAAUCGGACGACGAAGGCGACGAGAAUUUGCAAGAAUCGAAAUGCAGCGAGGACAAAAAGCU